UACGUAGGGGCCUAGCGUUGUCCGGAUUUAUUGGGCGUAAAGAGCUCGUAGGCGGUUCGGCAAGUCGGAUGUGAAAUCUCCACGCUCAACGUGGAGGGGCCAUUCGAAACUGCCGUGACUCGAGUCCGGUAGGGGAGUGUGGAAUUCCCGGUGUAGCGGUGAAAUGCGUAGAUAUCGAGAGGAACACCAGAGGUGAAGACGGGUUGCUGGGCUGACACUGACGCUGAGGCGCGAAAGCCAGGGGAGCAAACGGG
rnacentral:rRNA from 1 species